rnacentral:rRNA from 1 species
UACAGAGGUCUCAAGCGUUGUUCGGAUUCAUUGGGCGUAAAGGGUGCGUAGGCGGCGCGGUAAGUCGGGUGUGAAAUCUCGGAGCUUAACUCCGAAACUGCAUUCGAUACUGCCGUGCUUGAGGACUGGAGAGGAGACUGGAAUUUACGGUGUAGCGGUGAAAUGCGUAGAUAUUGUAAGGAAGACCAGUGGCGAAGGCGGGUCUCUGGACAGUUCCUGACGCUGAGGCACGAAGGCCAGGGGAGCAAACGGG